UAGAUCAGUUCCUAUCACAAAGUAAAUGCUCUAUAAGGGUUGGUCAUUAUUAUUAGGAAGGCCUCUAUUGUGUCCUCUCUAUUGCAACUUUCCUGAGGACAGCAGCAUUACUUUUUACAACUUUGUGUCCAGCAGUGACUCAAAUAAUGUCUGGUACAUAGGAGUAACUCAAAAAUGUGUUGUAGGCCACAUGGAUAGCUGGCACUGGGCUGGUGGUGACAGUGGGGGCUGGAAGAGCUGCAGGUCCCUAGGGACACGAAACGGGCAUGCAGGAGAUUAGAAGCCAGUAGGCACCAGUGUGGCUGCCACCAAAUGAACACCUGUUCCCUGGCAUCCUGGGCCUCAGAGGACCAGGAGCUUCCCCUUCCAUCCUGCCCUUUACACUGAGGCCAGAGAGUGGCAAGGGGAGGACAAGUGCAGGGGUUCCUCGCAAAGGUGGAAGGAACUUGGCCCGGCCUUGUCCAAGAUGUUUUUCAGGGGAAUCUGGUCAUUUUAACUAUACUGAGAUGCAUUAGAAGAUGCAAGCUGGAAAAAGGAAGAUUCCAAUUUGUGUUUUGAACUCUUGGUGGUACAGCAAAUGUAAAUCUCUUACAGAUGGAUCUGGGAACCCACUUGUCCAAAGAGCUGCCCAGCGUUCCCUGCUAGAGGUUUGUGUGUCCUCUCAUUCAGAACCUGGACAAUGAGUCCACUUGCAGUACCAGCUUUAGGCCCAGAGGAGACAUGAGACAUCAAUCAACAUAUGUAAAAUGAACAUUGGUUUGGACUCUGAGGUGAGGAGGGAGCUUGGAGGCUUUCAGAUCACAGGUUCGGGAUGGCACGUUCCUAAUUCCCUCUUGACCACAAAAUGUGAGGAUCUAGCCUCAAAUCUGCAACGCUUGCGUCUAAGAAAAAAAUUGUUUUUAAAUUUCCAUUUAACAGAAAUACAGAUGCAGAGCCAUAUAAUCAUCGGUCUUUGAUCACUCAGCAAAUCACAGAACAAGGAACAAAUCCUAGAGGGGAUGACAGGCCAGUUUUUGACCCUAUAGCCCAGCAACCUCAACACAGAACCGGAACCUUUCCCACAUUAAUCGCAAGGCAAGCAAGUGACAGAUUUUUACUUUUUAGUUCAAUCUUUUUAAAUCAAUUAUAAAAGAUGACAAAUAUACACCUCUCUUGGGAUACUUUAGAUAGGGCCUUAUAUAAGUAUUAUAUGUCCUAAAAUCAGGCAGAUCUUUCUUUAUCCCCGUCACAUAUUUUACAUUUCUGAAAGUAAAACAGGAAAUUACUUCAAGAAAAUGCCUGGAAGAAAAGCAAAUAUUUUCAAACUAUUCAGAAGAAUGGAAUUUUUCAAAAAUUAAAAGUU
rnacentral:lncRNA from 1 species